GUUCCAUCUCUAUCUUUUCGCCCAACUGUUCAGUUGAUUAGGGUUUUUCUCUUUUGAUCCAUCAAAUCUUUUGGCGAACAGUUCAGAAUCCUACCGAUCAUGUCCUACGAGAAGCUCGACGGUUUGGCGAGGUGGUUUGGUACUAGUGUUGCAUCGGCGUUUUUCGCAUCCUUGGAACGAUGCUCGUGUGUGAAUCUCAACACUUCCGAAUCAGACGAUGAGGAAGAGGAAGAAGCUAAAGAGCGCCCUCUCAUGAUCUCCGCCCUCUCUUCUCACCUCGAUUCCUGCGCUGCCACCACUAAUCCUACCUCCGCUGAUAACCUCCCCGUUUGAUUAGAACUGGGAUCAUGCUGCAAAUUUGCUGAAGUGGUCCUUUGGCUCCAUCAGCAUGGGUUUCAUUCUUCUUCUCCAUCAACAGAGUGGAUUCACUCUGGUAUAAGUUGUAACGUUUUAGUAGACUUGUGAUAGGAUUGUAUAAAAGUGUGUUGUCUGUUAAAAGUGUCUUUGUAGUACAUUAAAUGCACUGGUAUGCAUUUUCCUUCUCCUUCACCUCAUCAUAUCGGAAGUUACGGUGACAGAAAUGCUAUUUAUAUUUCAAAAUAUCUACA
rnacentral:misc_RNA from 1 species